GAAUUUGUAGAGAAUCUGAACAA
rnacentral:piRNA from 1 species